rnacentral:tRNA from 2 species
GGGGCUGUGGUCAAUUGGAAGACACUUCGACUCCGGAUCGAGGAGGUUGCAGGUUCGAGUCCUGUCAGUCCCU